GAGUUUGAUCCUGGCUCAGGAUGAACGCUAGCUACAGGCUUAACACAUGCAAGUCGAGGGGCAGCAUAAGCUUAGCUUGCUAAGUUUGAUGGCGACCGGCGCACGGGUGAGUAACGCGUAUCCAACCUGGCCCAUAGUAGGGAAUAGCCCGGCGAAAGUCGGAUUAAUGCCCUAUGUUCUCCAUUGAGGACAUCUGAGACGGAGCAAAGAUUUAUCGCUAUGGGAUUGGGAUGCGUCUGAUUAGCUUGCCGGCGGGGUAACGGCCCACCGGGGCUUCGAUCAGUAGGGGUUCUGAGAGGAAGGUCCCCCACAUUGGAACUGAGACACGGUCCAAACUCCUACGGGAGGCAGCAGUGAGGAAUAUUGGUCAAUGGGCGCGAGCCUGAACCAGCCAAGUAGCGUGCAGGAUGACGGCCCUAUGGGUUGUAAACUGCUUUUGCCGGGGAAUAAAGUUCACUACGCGUAGUGUUUUGUAUGUACCCGGAGAAUAAGGACCGGCUAAUUCCGUGCC
rnacentral:rRNA from 1 species